UACGUAGGGAGCAAGCGUUGUCCGGAUUUACUGGGCGUAAAGGGUGCGUAGGCGGCUUUGCAAGUCAGAAGUGAAAUCUAUGGGCUUAACCCAUAAACUGCUUUUGAAACUGCAGGGCUUGAGUGAAGUAGAGGUAGGCGGAAUUCCCGGUGUAGCGGUGAAAUGCGUAGAGAUCGGGAGGAACACCAGUGGCGAAGGCGGCCUACUGGGCUUUAACUGACGCUGAGGCACGAAAGCGUGGGUAGCAAACAGG
rnacentral:rRNA from 1 species